UACACACGGAUAACAUACCGAAAGGUAUGCUAAUACGGGAUAAUAUAUUUGAGAGGCAUCUCUUGAAUAUCAAAGGUGAGCCAGUACAGGAUGGACCCGCGUCUGAUUAGCUAGUUGGUAAGGUAACGGCUUACCAAGGCGACGAUCAGUAGCCGACCUGAGAGGGUGAUCGGCCACAUUGGAACUGAGACACGGUCCAAACUCCUACGGGAGGCAGCAGUGGGGAAUAUUGCACAAUGGGCGAAAGCCUGAUGCAGCAACGCCGCGUGAGUGAUGAAGGCCUUCGGGUCGUAAAACUCUGUCCUCAAGGAAGAUAAUGACGGUACUUGAGGAGGAAGCCCCGGCUAACUACGUGCCAGCAGCCGCGGUAAUACGUAGGGGGCUAGCGUUAUCCGGAUUUACUGGGCGUAAAGGGUGCGUAGGCGGUCUUUCAAGUCAGGAGUGAAAGGCUACGGCUCAACCGUAGUAAGCUCUUGAAACUGGGAGACUUGAGUGCAGGAGAGGAGAGUGGAAUUCCUAGUGUAGCGGUGAAAUGCGUAGAUAUUAGGAGGAACACCAGUUGCGAAGGCGGCUCUCUGGACUGUAACUGACGCUGAGGCACGAAAGCGUGGGGAGCAAACAGGAUCAGAUAGCCUGGUAGUCCACGCUGUAAACGAUGAGUACUAGGUGUCGGGGGUUACCCCCUUCGGUGCCGCAG
rnacentral:rRNA from 1 species